GCAUAUCAAUAAGCGGAGGAAAAGAAACCAACCGGGAUUGCCUCAGUAACGGCGAGUGAAGCGGCAAAAGCUCAAAUUUGAAAUCUGCGUAAGCCGAGUUGUAAUUUGAAGAUGGCUACUUUGGUAAUGGCUCUUGUCUAUGUUCCUUGGAACAGGACGUCACAGAGGGUGAGAAUCCCGUGCGAUGAGAUGUCCAUUACCGUGUAAAGUGCUUUCGAAGAGUCGAGUUGUUUGGGAAUGCAGCUCUAAGUGGGUGGUAAAUUCCAUCUAAAGCUAAAUAUUGGCGAGAGACCGAUAGCGAACAAGUACAGUGAUGGAAAGAUGAAAAGAACUUUGAAAAGAGAGUGAAAAAGUACGUGAAAUUGUUGAAAGGGAAGGGCUUGAGAUCAGACUUGGUAUUUUGUAUGGCUUGCUUUCGGGCGGGUCCUCUGCAGUUUACUGGGCCAGCAUCGGUUUGGGUGGCAGGAUAAUAGCAUAGGAAUGUGGCUCUACUUCGGUGGAGUGUUAUAGCCUUUGUUGAUACUGCCUGCCUAGACCGAGGACUGCGUCUUUUGACUAGGAUGCUGGCAUAAUGAUCCUAAGCCGCCCGUCUUGAAACACGGACCAAGGAGUCUAACGUCUAUGCGAGUGUUUGGGUGUAAAACCCGUACGCGGAAUGAAAGUGAACGUAGAUGAGAGCCUUUUAGGCGCAUCAUCGACCGAUCCUGAUGUCUUCGGAUGGAUUUGAGUAAGAGCAUAGCUGUUGGGACCCGAAAGAUGGUGAACUAUGCCUGAAUAGGGUGAAGCCAGAGGAAACUCUGGUGGAGGCUCGUAGCGGUUCUGACGUGCAAAUCGAUCGUCGAAUUUGGGUAUAGGGGCGAAAGACUAAUCGAACCAUCUAGUAGCUGGUUCCUGCCGAA
rnacentral:rRNA from 1 species